UUAAUAGUUUUUGUGCUUUUAAGUUUUAAAAUGAACUGUGAAUUUGGGGGACCGCUCGGAGCUCUUGGGCUAAUAGUUUUACUUCCCAUAACUUUGUUCUUCUUAUACUUUUCAUGUGUGCAAGAGUCCUGCUCCCUUUUGAAUUUUUCUUUUAUAUUGGAGCACUUGAAAGCCGAACGUUUCAUUUCUUUCAAGGCCACCGCUGUCAUUAUUCUAUGGAUUCUUUUCCAAGCGGUUAUACACCUUUAUACACCGGCGAGGGUCGCCUUGGGCACCACCCUUUCUAAUGGAAAGAAGCUGCCCUAUCGACUAAACGGUGAGCUACGACUGGACUAAAAAACUUUCUUUUUGCGAACAAACCUUUUAUUACCUUUAAGGUUUGUGCUGCUUUUUUAUUAGUGUCUUUAUCUUCUUGGUGGGUCA